rnacentral:rRNA from 1 species
UACGGAGGGUGCGAGCGUUAAUCGGAAUAACUGGGCGUAAAGGGCGCGCAGGCGGGCUUGUAAGACAGAGGUGAAAUCCCCGGGCUCAACCUGGGAAUAGCAUUUCAGACUGGGAGUCUAGAGUACUGUAGAGGGGGGUAGAAUUCCGCGUGUAGCGGUGAAAUGCGUAGAUAUGUGGAGGAACACCGAAGGCGAAGGCAGCCCCUUGGGAAUGUACUGACGCUCAUGCGCGAAAGCGUGGGGAGCAAACAGG